UACGGAGGGUGCAAGCGUUAUCCGGAUUCACUGGGUUUAAAGGGUGCGUAGGCGGACAGGUAAGUCAGUGGUGAAAUCUCUGGGCUUAACUCAGAAACUGCUGUUGAUACUAUUUGUCUUGAAUAUCUUGGAGGUAAGCGGAAUAUGUCAUGUAGCGGUGAAAUGCUUAGAUAUGACAUAGAACACCGAUAGCGAAGGCAGCUUACUACAGGAAGAUUGACGCUGAGGCACGAAAGCGUGGGGAGCAAACAGG
rnacentral:rRNA from 1 species